rnacentral:rRNA from 1 species
CAGCCGCCGCGGUAAUACGUAGGUGGUAAGCGUUGUCCGGAAUUAUUGGGCGUAAAGGGCUCGCAGGCGGUUUCUUAAGUCUGAUGUGAAAGCCCCCGGCUCAACCGGGGAGGGUCAUUGGAAACUGGGAAACUUGAGUGCAGAAGAGGAGAGUGGAAUUCCACGUGUAGCGGUGAAAUGCGUAGAGAUGUGGAGGAACACCAGUGGCGAAGGCGACUCUCUGGUCUGUAACUGACGCUGAAGAGCGAAAGCGUGGGGAGCGAACAGGAUUAGAUACCCCAGUAGUCCCUGUCUCUUAUAC